rnacentral:rRNA from 1 species
GACGAACGCUGGCGGCGUGCUUAACACAUGCAAGUCGAACGGAAAGGCCCUGCUUUUGUGGGGUGCUCGAGUGGCGAACGGGUGAGUAACACGUGAGUAACCUGCCCUUGACUUUGGGAUAACUUCAGGAAACUGGGGCUAAUAUCGGAUAGGAGCUCCUGCUGCAUGGUGGGGGUUGGAAAGUUUCGGCGGUUGGGGAUGGACUCGCGGCUUAUCAGCUUGUUGGUGGGGUAGUGGCUUACCAAGGCUUUGACGGGUAGCCGGCCUGAGAGGGUGACCGGCCACAUUGGGACUGAGAUGCGGCCCAGACUCCUACGGGAGGCAGCAGUGGGGAAUAUUGCACAAUGGGCGGAAGCCUGAUGCAGCAACGCCGCGUGCGGGAUGACGGCCUUCGGGUUGUAAACCGCUUUCGCCUGUGACGAAGCGUGAGUGACGGUAAUGGGUAAAGAAGCACCGGCUAACUACGUG